rnacentral:rRNA from 1 species
UAAUAGCUCACUGGUCGAGUCGGCCUGCGCGGAAGAUGUAACGGGGCUAAACCAUGCACCGAAGCUGCGGCAGCGACACUAUGUGUUGUUGGGUAGGGGAGCGUUCUGUAAGCCUGUGAAGGUGUACUGUGAGGCAUGCUGGAGGUAUCAGAAGUGCGAAUGCUGACAUAAGUAACGAUAAAGCGGGUGAAAAGCCCGCUCGCCGGAAGACC